ACGAACGGCAGCAUCGUGACUUCGGUCUGGUGGCGAGUGGCGAACGGGUGAGUAUGUAUCGGAACGUGCCUAGAAGUGGGGAUAACUAUGCCAGUGUAUUAAUACCGCACAAUGGCCGCCCUUCGGGGGAGGCGAACUGGCCUUGACUAUUAGAGCGGCCGAUAUCGGAUUAGCUAGUUGUGGGUAACGGCUCACCAAGGCGACGAUCCGUGGCUGGUUUGAGAGGAUGACCAGCCACACUGGGACGAGAUACACCAGAUUCCUACGGGAGGCAGCAGUGGGGAAUUUUGGACAAUGGGGAAACCCUGAUCCAGCCAUCUCAUGUGUGCGAUGAAGGCCUUCGGGUUGUAAAGCACUUUUGGCAGGAAAGAAACGGCACGGGAUAAUACCCUGUGCAACUGACGGUACCUGCAGAAUAAGCACCGGCUAACGCCAGCAGCCGCGGUAAUACGUAGGGGUGCAAGCGUUAAUCGGAAUUACUGGGCGGAAGCGUGCGCAGGCGGUUCGAAACAGGAUGUGAACCAGAGCUUAACUUUGGAACUGCAUUUUUAAUCACCGAGCUAGGAGGUGUUUGAGGGAGGUGGAAUUCCUAUGUAGCAGUGAAAUGCGUAGAUAUGCGGAGGAACACUGACGGCGGGAAGGCAGCCUCGAUAACACUGACGCUCAUGCACGAAAGCGUGGGGAGCAACAGGAUUAGAUACCCUGGUAGUCCACGCCCUUAAACGAUGUCAACUAGCUGUUGGGGUUUUCGGGCCUGGUAGCAGCUAACGCGUGAAGUUGACCGCCUGGGAGUACGGCUUCAAGAUUAAAACUCAAAGGAAUUGACGGGUAAUUCCGCACAAGCGGUGGAUGAUGUGGACUAAUUUCGAUAACGCGAAAAACCUUACCUACCCUGACGCAUGUCUGGAAUCCCGAAGAGAUUUGGGAGUGCUCACAAGAGAACCGGAACACAGGUGCUGCAUGGCUGUCGUCGCUCGUGUCGUGAGAUGUUGGGUUAAGUCUCGCAACGAGCGCAACCUCGUCAUUAGUUGCUACGAAAGGGCACUCUAAUUGAGAUUGCCGGUACAAACCGGAGGAAGGUGAUGACGUCGUCCUCAUGGCCCUUAUGGGUAGGGUCAUCGUCAUACAAUGGCCGGGACAGAGGUCGCCAACCCGCGAGGGGGAGCCAAUCUCAGAAACCCGAUCGGGGAACCGGAUCGCAGUCUGCAACUCGACUGCGUGAAGUCGGAAUCGCUAGUAAUCGCGGAUCAGCAUGUCGCGGUGAAUACGUUCCCGGGUCUUGUACACACCGCCCGUCACACCAUGGGAGUGGGUUUUACCAGAAGUAGUUAGCCUUAACCGUAAGGAGGGCGAUUACCACGGUAGGAUUCAUGACUGGGGUGAAGUCGUAACAAGGUAA
rnacentral:rRNA from 1 species